AGUUCCAGUAAAGGAUCCAGUGUGCAGUCAGUAUGUAGCAUUUCUCUGCCAGGUCUUAGCUCUCCCAUUCACUAGGCUUCCAUUCCUCUCACACUUGUGCACUUGAAUUUAUUUUUAAGACUUCAGGCCAGCUAUUCGGUAGGUGACCCAACCUGAGCUCACAUGAUAACUUCCUCAUGACUGGGUUCAGGUAUGCAUCUUUGGGUGAACAUCAUGAGCUGGUGGUAUGCUCUUUCUUUUUUUGCAUGUCACACAAAUUGUGAUUUUUCUUUUUUUUUUAUACCUUUGACACUCACAUUGAUUGUGGUUGUCUCAUUGCUGUCACAUUGAUUUAUUUCAUUGGGAAGCAUUUGAGAAAAUACAUUAUUCCACUAUUUUUUAAUCUUGAGAUUAUUCUUAUUUUCAUUAUGUUGUGACUAUGGGUAGAUAUCUCUUCAGUGGGCUAUAAUCUACUAGGAUAAACAUUUAUUUUCGCAUUUAAAUUACCUUUAAUCACUCAUAAGAGUACAUUAAUUUCUAUAUCUAAGCAGGGUUAUGUACUUUCUACUUAAUUGCUACAAAAAGAUGUUCUAGGUUUAGACCUAUAUUCAGCCAUUUCGCCAAUGAACAAGUAGCUGUGGUCCAUUACCCAGGAGCCAUUUCUCCCAUUGCCCUUCCUCCUGUCCUUGUCUAUUUUGUUAGUCUCUACUUAAUAGCUUUUGGGAAUUGAAUCAUUCAGAAAUAAGGACUGCACUGUUUAUUUUGAUUUAAUGACUUGUGCUAGCUCUGUGUGGAUAGGUAGUAUGACUUAUCUGAUGUGACAUCCCCCAGAGUCUAUUACAUAUAAAUGCUCAAUAAGUUACAGAGUCAUUCAAAGACAAAUACUUGUUAUGCACCCAUUAGGGGUCAGUCAUUAUUCCAGACACUGGAAUACAGCAGUCAGUCAAAUAAAAAAGAAAACAAAAAGUAAUAGUGGACAUGGCAUGAAUUAAAUUUAUGAAGAUAAAAACAUGUAUUUAUAGGAGAUCUGUGAAUGUUACUGGUUCGUUGUGAAUGAUGAAAAUACUUAUAUAAUGCAGCAAUUUCAGUUAAUUCACAUUACAGUGUGCUUCAGGAUGAAAUAUUUGGCUUUGCAUUUUCUUUCUUGUGCUGUUCAUUGAAUAGGCCCUGUGUAUGGCAGUAGUACUUUGCACUUUGAAAGAAUAGGUAUGUAUAUGUGUGUGUGCGCGCACAUAUAUGCUCAUAUGUGUGUACAUGUGUGUAGAAGUCUGAGGUCAAUGUUGCAUAUCAUUCUCAAACACUCACUAUCCUGUUUUCUGAGACAGAGAACCUAAGGCUUGCUGAUUCAGCUAUACUGUCUGGCCAGUGAGCCCCAGAGAACCACCUAUCUCUACCUCCCAGGGCUUGGAUUAUAAGCGUUCACUUGACAUUUUAAACCUGUGUUCUGGGGGAUGCUCAGAGCCUCGUGCUUGCAUCAAAAGCACUUUACCAAUUGAGCUAUCUACUCAGCUUGAAGCUGAUUUUUCAUUAGACUGUACAGUCUAAAUGUGUUAGGGCAUAUUUUCCUUUUAAUGAUUUUUUUUCUUUAGAUAGGACAGUUCUUGCUGUCCACUGCAGAAUUUAGUGCCUGAAAUAGCUCUAGUCCUUUAAAGGGCAAAACAGAAAUCCUAGUAAUGUGUUUUAUAUUACCGAAUAUCACAUUAUAGAUUAUCAGCUCCUGUGUAUUUGAUUAAAGAUAGUUCCAGAUGAAAAUGUAAUUUGAGAGGUUUCUGUUAUUUCAUGUGUGUAUAUAUAUUUCAUACAAGGUUCAUGCUAGCCUAGAACUCAGAGCCGUCUUUCUGGCUUAGCCCCAUGUGUUGUUUUUAUAGGUUUAAGCUACUAUGACUGGCUUUGCUAUAAUUUUUUUAAUUGUUUAUUUAUUUUAUUUUAUGUAUAUGGGUGUUAAGCUUGCAUGUAUGACUUUGUGUGUGUGAGUGUAUGUGUGAGAGUGUGUGUGUGAGUGUGUGUGUGAGUGUGUGUGUCUGAGUGUAUACACUGGCCAUGGAGGCCAGAAGAGAGCAUUAGAUCCUGGAGCUGGAGUCAAAGAACAAUGAACCAUGCACCAUGCUUUAUGAGUUCUAGAAAUUGAACUUGGGUCCUCUGGAAGAGUAGCAGGUGCUUUUUUUGUUAGCAAUUGAGCUAUCUCUCCUGUCUUAUAUAUAAACACACACACACACACACACACACACACACACACACACUUUGAAAGAAUUACAUGAACAUGUGGAUGUGUGAGUGUGGGUUUAUGCACGUGAGUACAAGUGUCUGCAGAGGCCAGAAAAAGGUGGCAGAUGCCUGAAGCUGGAGUUACAGGCAUCUUUG
rnacentral:lncRNA from 1 species